rnacentral:rRNA from 1 species
GGGUUGUGAGGUUAAGCGAAUAAGCGUACACGGUGGAUGCCUAGGCAAUCAGAGGCGAUGAAGGACGUGCUAAUCUGCGAAAAGCGUCGGUAAGGUGAUAUGAACCGCUAUACCCGACGAUAUCCGAAUGGGGAAACCCAGUAUCCAAUGGAUACUAUCAUUAACUGAAUCCAUAGGUUAAUGAGGCGAACCGGGAGAACUGAAACAUCUCAGUACCCCGAGGAAAAGAAAUCAACCGAGAUUCCCCUAGUAGCGGCGAGCGAACGGGGAGCAGCCCAGAGUCUUAAUCAAUAGCAGUGUCAGGAGAACGGUCUGGAAAGUCCGGCAGUAAAGGGUGAUAGCCCCGUAUCUGAAGAUGCUGUUGUUGUGAACUCGACGAGUAGGGCGGGACACGUGUUAUCCUGUCUGAAUAUGGGGGGACCAUCCUCCAAGGCUAAAUACUCCUGAUUGACCGAUAGUGAACCAGUACCGUGAGGGAAAGGCGAAAAGAACCCCGGCGAGGGGAGUGAAAAAGAACCUGAAACCGUGUACGUACAAGCAGUAGGAGCCUCUUUAUGGGGUGACUGCGUACCUUUUGUAUAAUGGGUCAGCGACUUAUAUUCUGUAGCAAGGUUAACCGUAUAGGGGAGCCGUAGGGAAACCGAGUCUUAACUGGGCGAAUGAGUUGCAGGGUAUAGACCCGAAACCCGGUGAUCUAUCCAUGGGCAGGUUGAAGGUUGGGUAACACUAACUGGAGGACCGAACCGACUAAUGUUGAAAAAUUAGCGGAUGACUUGUGGAUGGGGGUGAAAGGCCAAUCAAACCGGGAGAUAGCUGGUUCUCCCCGAAAGCUAUUUAGGUAGCGCCUCGUGAAUUCAUCUUCGGGGGUAGAGCACUGUUUCGACUAGGGGGUCAUCCCGACUUACCAACUCGAUGCAAACUGCGAAUACCGAAGAAUGUUAUCACGGGAGACACACGGCGGGUGCUAACGUCCGUCGUGAAGAGGGAAACAACCCAGACCGCCAGCUAAGGUCCCAAAGUCAUGGUUAAGUGGGAAACGAAGUGGGAAGGCUCAGACAGCCAGGAUGUUGGCUUAGAAGCAGCCAUCAUUUAAAGAAAGCGUAAUAGCUCACUGGUCGAGUCGGCCCGCGCGGAAGAUGUAACGGGGCUAAACCAUGCACCGAAGCUGCGGCAGCGACACAUAGUGUUGUUGGGUAGGGGAGCGUUCUGUAAGCCUGCGAAGGUGUACUGUGAGGUAUGCUGGAGGUAUCAGAAGUGCGAAUGCUGACAUAAGUAACGAUAAUGCGGGUGAAAAACCCGCACGCCGGAAGACCAAGGGUUCCUGUCCAACGUUAAUCGGGGCAGGGUGAGUCGACCCCUAAGGCGAGGCUGAAAAGCGUAGUCGAUGGGAAACGGGUUAAUAUUCCCGUACUGGUGGUAACUGCGAUGGGGGAACGGAGAAGGCUAGGUUGUCCGGGCGACGGUCGUCCCGGUUCAAGCAGGUAGGCAGAGUGAUUAGGCAAAUCCGGUCACUUAAUGCUGAGAUGUGAUGACGAACCACCAAGGUGGUGAAGCAAUUGAUGCCCCGCUUCCAGGAAAAGCCUCUAAGCUUCAGGUUACCAACAAUCGUACCCCAAACCGACACAGGUGGUCAGGUAGAGAAUACUCAGGCGCUUGAGAGAACUCGGGUGAAGGAACUAGGCAAAAUGGUGCCGUAACUUCGGGAGAAGGCACGCUGGCGGUAGGUAAAGUCCCUCGCGGACGGCGCUGAAGCCAGUCGAAGAUACCAGCUGGCUGCAACUGUUUAUUAAAAACACAGCACUGUGCAAACACGAAAGUGGACGUAUACGGUGUGACGCCUGCCCGGUGCUGGAAGGUUAAUUGAUGGGGUUAGCGUAAGCGAAGCUCCUGAUCGAAGCCCCAGUAAACGGCGGCCGUAACUAUAACGGUCCUAAGGUAGCGAAAUUCCUUGUCGGGUAAGUUCCGACCUGCACGAAUGGCGUAAUGAUGGCCAGGCUGUCUCCACCCGAGACUCAGUGAAAUUGAACUCGCUGUGAAGAUGCAGUGUACCCGCGGCAAGACGGAAAGACCCCGUGAACCUUUACUAUAGCUUGACACUGAACAUUGAGCCUUGAUGUGUAGGAUAGGUGGGAGGCUUUGAAGUGUGGACGCCAGUCUGCAUGGAGCCAACCUUGAAAUACCACCCUUUAACGUUUGAUGUUCUAACCUAGGCCCAUAAACUGGGUCGGGGACCGUGUCUGGUGGGUAGUUUGACUGGGGCGGUCUCCUCCUAAAGAGUAACGGAGGAGCACGAAGGUUGGCUAAGCAUGGUCGGACAUCAUGCGGUUAGUGCAAAGGCAUAAGCCAGCUUGACUGCGAGAGUGACGGCUCGAGCAGGUACGAAAGUAGGUCUUAGUGAUCCGGUGGUUCUGAAUGGAAGGGCCAUCGCUCAACGGAUAAAAGGUACUCCGGGGAUAACAGGCUGAUACCGCCCAAGAGUUCAUAUCGACGGCGGUGUUUGGCACCUCGAUGUCGGCUCAUCACAUCCUGGGGCUGAAGUAGGUCCCAAGGGUAUGGCUGUUCGCCAUUUAAAGUGGUACGCGAGCUGGGUUUAGAACGUCGUGAGACAGUUCGGUCCCUAUCUGCCGUGGGCGUUGGAAGAUUGAGAGGGGUUGCUCCUAGUACGAGAGGACCGGAGUGAACGCACCACUGGUGUUCGGGUUGUCAUGCCAAUGGCAUUGCCCGGUAGCUAAGUGCGGAAGAGAUAACCGCUGAAAGCAUCUAAGCGGGAAACUUGCCUCGAGAUGAGUCUUCCCUGUCGCUUUAAGCGACCUAAAGGAACGUUUAAGACUAAGACGUUGAUAGGCUGGGUGUGUAAGCGUAGCGAUACGUUGAGCUAACCAGUACUAAUGAACCGUGAGGCUUAACCUGACAACACCGAAAGUGUUUUG